GGCCACGUGGGCAGGAUGGGGUUAAAAGUGGCCCUGCUCCCCACAGGGGCCCAUUGCUCCCCGGCCACCACCAUCACCCCAUGCAGCACCCCACUGCACCGGCACCCGGCGUGGGCCACUGGCAUCUGGCAUGCACCACCGGCACCCGGCACGGGUCACCAGCACCCAGCGUGGGUCACCAGCACCCGGCAUGGGCCAUCAGCAGCCGGCAUGGGCCAUCAGCACCCAGCAUGGGCCACCUGUGCCCCAACCCGCCAUGCCCGACGUCGAAGGUGGUCCCAUGGCUGGGCCACGUGGGGUGCGCGAGGUGGCCCCGCACAGGCAGAAGCGAGCACUUCGCCAGAGGAGAGCAACCGCCGGACACCGACUGAGAGACAGUGCAGUCACCCAUAAAGUAGAAAGCACUACUAAACAGCACUGCAGGGUGUAGUGUUUCCUACUUUAUGGAUGAGUGUACUGUGGGCUACGGAGAAGAGAGCACCGCCGCGACCCGCGUGCCCGUCACGAGUUGUGCGCGGUCCGAGAGCAGAGGACAGGCUGUGCCUGGCUCCCAGGAGGGUGCCCACGCUUGGCCACCCACCCCAUGGGCACCACCACCCUCCCCGGGCUGCGGAUGCUCUGCUCACCCCCACUGUCCCUCUGGCACCUGGGGACCGGCCACGUGGGGAAGAGGGGUUGCACAGCCCGGUGCCCCACGUGCGCGGUGGAGGGGCCUGUCGGGUCAGAGCGAGCACCAUGCUGGGAGGCCAGGUAGGUAGCAAAGCCUCCAAUUCCCUUUUUUUUUUUUUUUCCACCCAUCUUCAUUUUCCAUAUGGCGAAGCCCUGGGAAGAGCUGGGAGGGGGCAGCCACGUGCAGUGGGGAGCGGCAUGGGAGGCGGACGGGGGGGUCCUGGCUUGCUUUGUGCUGCUGAAUGAUUGCUGGGUGCAGCAGGGCGAGGGGCUGCUAAAUAAAAGUCUUUUGGCAUUGA